CCUACGGGUGGCAGCAGUGAGGAAUAUUGGUCAAUGGUCGGGAGACUGAACCAGCCAAGCCGCGUGAGGGAUGAAGGUCCAGCGUAUCGUAAACCUCUUUUGUCAGGGAACAAAGGCCGGGACGUGUCCCCGGCUGCGUGUACCUUACGAAAAAGCAUCGGCUAACUCCGUGCCAGCAGCCGCGGUAAUACGGAGGAUGCGAGCGUUAUCCGGAUUUAUUGGGUGUAAAGGGCGUGUAGCCGGGUUGACAAGUCAGAUGUGAAAUCCUGCGGCUUAACCGCAGAACUGCAUUUGAAACUGUUGAUCUUGAGUACUGGAGAGGCAGACGGAAUUCCUAGUGUAGCGGUGAAAUGCGUAGAUAUUAGGAGGAACACCAGUGGCGAAGGCAGUCUGCUGGACAGCAACUGACGGUGGGGCGCGAAGGCGUGGGGAGCAAACAGGAUUAGAUACCCCGGUAGUC
rnacentral:rRNA from 1 species